rnacentral:rRNA from 1 species
GACGAACGCUGGCGGCGUGCUUAACACAUGCAAGUCGAACGGAAAGGCCCUGCUUUUGUGGGGUACUCGAGUGGCGAACGGGUGAGUAACACGUGAGUAACCUGCCCUUGACUUUGGGAUAACUUCGGGAAACUGGGUCUAAUACCGGAUAGGACCUCCUGCUGCAUGGUGGGGUUUAGAGAUUUUCGGCGGUUGGGGAUGGACUCGCGGCUUAUCAGCUUGUUGGUGGGGUAGUGGCCUACCAAGGCUUCGACGGGUAGCCGGCCUGAGAGGGUGAACGGCCACAUUGGGACUGAGAUACGGCCCAGACUCCUACGGGAGGCAGCAGUGGGGAAUAUUGCACAAUGGGCGGAAGCCUGAUGCAGCAACGCCGCGUGGGGGAUGACGGCCUUCGGGUUGUAAACCGCUUUCGCCAGUGACGAAGCGUGAGUGACGGUAAUGGGUAAAGAAGCACCGGCUAACUACGUG